AUUGAACACUUUACAGUAGUGGAAGUUUCAGAGAUAACAAAUGAUCUAAACGCUAGAAUAGAAAGACAGCGUAAUGGAAGAACAACUAUGGGCAGUGUUUCAGGCCUGUAACCCAGACACUGAAGGAUUUAUAAGCAUUCAGGAGUUGGCUAAUAUUAGCAGAUCUCAUGUUGAUUCUGAGGAUGUGGAGAAAAUACUUAGUAUUUUUACAGCAAGUAAUCAGGAUCGGUUGGAUUUCCCGGAGUUUCAGCAUCAAGUUAUCAAUAGUUUGAACCAGGAUUUGAUGACAGCGCACAAUAAUGAGCUGGGAGCUAGAUUACAAAGUCCGAGGAAAAAGAUGAAAAGACGACCUGUAAGACUGGUGUCUCAGAGUAAAUUAACUGGAGCUAUACCAUUGGUCAAUACAUCAAGUGAAGACGACAAUGAUUUAGAGGAUAGUUUUGAUCGUAGAAUAGCAGCAGAACUUGAGUUCGCGGGCAAAACUUUAGAGCGCACUAAACCAAAAUAUUUAGUUCGAGGCUCCCAGAUGAGAAGCACUGUAAGAUCUAAAUCUAAUACCCAGCUGCCAUUUCUGUCUUCUCAUCCAACUCUAGAGAUUUCUCCGAUCAGAUCUGAUGACGGAUCAGCUUCCGGUCAGAAUAUUUAUGAGUCAACUCCUUGUAAAACUGGUUCUGAGCUCCGGGAGCAGGUUCUGGAUCAGCUCCGGAACCCGGAGCAAUUGAAUCUUGAGGAGGAGAGUCGAAUCAGGAGAAGUUCGAGCGAGAAUUCUGUUUUUCAACAAGUAUCUUUAGAUGCUCAUGGGAUGGAUUCUAGAUCGAUUGAGUCUGAUAAAAGAUGGAGAGAAGUUCAAGUUCCAGGAUUAAAUUAUCGACCUAGAUCUCCCAGGUGGAAUGAGGGGGAGGAGAAGGAAGAGAAGGAAACCCAAGAAAUGGAUCAAGAGGAAAAAAUGGAAGCCAAGAAGAAGGAAAAGGAGGAGAAGAUGAAAGUGAAUGGAGCGAAGAAUAUAUUUUUCAGGUUGGCUGAGGAGGAUGAGUUUAACCAAACCAAAAGAUCUGUUCUGGAUGGUUUAGAGAAGCAGGUUAGCAUGAUCCAGCACCAAUAUGAGGAGUUUGGAUUGACUCCAACUAAGGCGAUAGAUUUCAAGACUGAGCUUGAAACUGAAUUGGAGAAAGUAAGAAUAGAAGCAAGAGAGAAACUGGAGGAAGAAAGAGAGAGAUGGGAAGAGGAGAAAGCGAAAUGGGAAGAGGAGAGAGAGAAAUGGGAAGAGGAGAGAGAGAGAUGGGAGGAAGAAUUUCAAGGAUUAGAGAGAGAAAGAGAAAUGGAUAAACUAAAUUAUGAACUCAGACUGGAUCAGGUGCGUGGAGAGGUGGAUAGACUGCGACGGGAGAAAUCUGAACUAGUGGAAAAGGUUCGAUUACUGUACGAAGAAAAGGAAUUGAUUGAAGAUACAAACAAACAUGGAAAUAAUACCAACUUUUUCUCGAUGGAGGACUCCCAGGAAGAAAUGUCUAAAAUGUCGUUGGAUUCAGACAAAACAGACAGAACUGAGAAUAGUCGAACUGAGAGCUAUGAUCUGGAGUAUAUGAACAAGAUCCAACAGUUGACAAGAAGGCUAGAACAGCAUGAUAAUGAGUUAAUUGAGCUUAAGGAGGAUAAUACAGUUCUCCGUAAACAGAAGCAGAAAUUAAUGGAGAUGAUGAAAGGAGAAUCAAAUAGGAAACGUUCAUUUCUAGGUCUCAGCCAUUCCCGAUCUUUCAAUGGUUUAGAUAAUAUGGACGUAGACGAUCCUUCAGAUAUCAGGAUUAGAUGUUCAGAACUGUGCAGGCAGGUACAGGACCAAGCUGAUAAUAACAAACAGCUAAAGGAGUACAUUCACGAUUUACUGGAUAAUGUUAUGAAGAAUAACCCGGGCUUGCUGGAAAAAAGUUAAGUCCGCUCACGAUAAAGAAAACUAAAAAUCUCUCUUAAAAUUAGGCUGUCAUUUUCCUCAUAAAAAUCAAUUUUCUUUUCCGUCGCUAAAAUUUCUGAAUAAAAGUACAAAAUCUAAAAAAUGGUAAAAUCUCUUACUGUAUGUGCAAUGUACAACCUUUCUUCGUGCAGAUUUUAACUAGAACGUUUUUACGUUGUACCUGACCAGACUUUGUGAUAUAUGGGUAUUAAAACUAAAUUGUAAAAAUUAUAUAUGCCUAGCAUUUUUAUAUAAUAAACUGAUUUUAUAAUAAAC